rnacentral:rRNA from 1 species
AUUCGAUUAGAGUUUGAUUAUGGCUCAGGACGAACGCUGGCGGCGUGCUUAACACAUGCAAGUCGAACGGAGAUAGAAGCUUGCUUCUAUCUUAGUGGCAAACGGGUGAGUAACGCGUGGGUAACCUACCCUAAAGUGGGGGAUAACAGAUCGAAAGGUCUGCUAAUACCGCAUACCCUUCAAGUACGAGAGUAUUUGAAGGAAAGGAGUAAUCCGCUUAAGGAGGGGCCUGCGUCCUAUCAGGUAGUUGGUGAGGUAACGGCUCACCAAGCCUAUGACGGGUAGCUGGUCUGAGAGGAUGAUCAGUCACACUGGAACUGAGACACGGUCCAGACUCCUACGGGAGGCAGCAGUGGGGAAUAUUCCGCAAUGGGCGAAAGCCUGACGGAGCGACGCCGCGUGGAUGAUGAAGACCCUAUGGGUCGUAAAAUCCUUUUGUGAGGGAAGAAGAUCUGACGGUACCUCACGAAUAAGCCACGGCUAACUACGUGCCAGCAGCCGCGGUAAUACGUAGGUGGCAAGCGUUGUCCGGAAUUACUGGGCGUAAAGGGUGCGUAGGCGGUUUAUUAAGUGGGAUGUGAAAUACCCGGGCUCAACUCGGGAACUGCAUUCCAAACUGGUAAGCUAGAGUGCAGGAGAGGAAAGUGGAAUUCCCAGUGUAGCGGUGAAAUGCGUAGAGAUUGGGAGGAACACCAGUGGCGAAGGCGACUUUCUGGACUGUAACUGACGCUGAGGCACGAAAGUGUGGGGAGCAAACAGGACUAGAUACCCUGGUAGUCCACACUGUAAACUAUGAGUACUAGGUGUAGGGGGCGAAGCCCUCUGUGCCGCAGUUAACACAUUAAGUACUCCGCCUGGGAAGUACGAUCGCAAGAUUAAAACUCAAAGG